GGCCCAAUGAGGGAGAUGUGAAAUAGAUAACUUUGUUUCAGUCUCUUUCAGAGAAACAGCUUCAGCUAAGCUCUUAGACAUUUUCUUCGUGAAAUCAUUAGAAAUUGAAAUAGAAUUUUGUUCACCAUCUCCAAUCGCUAAAGUAGGCACCAGGCUUGUUUGCUGCUGCUGCUGUCUUGACUUCCUUGCCUGUAUUGCUUUCUGUCUCUCUUCAUAAAAAUGAAAAUCAUCUAGGAUGGACGAAUGACUUUCAUAGUUAUUAAAUAUUUUUAACAUUUCAACACCAUGUUCCAGUUCCACCUCUUGAGUAUCUCUACUGUUAGUGACUGGCUUGUUGUCAUUAUUUUCAAGUGCAAUAUGACGAAACUGACUGUUAGGAACAUCUUUAAUAAUGUGCCACUUGACAGGAAACUGUCCAGACCACUUAUCCUGCUGCCAGUAAUCUACACUCUUGUCAAAGUCCACAGGCCCAACCAUCUCGGCUACUCCACAGAACUGAGCACUAGCGUUCACCGAAAACAACAGAAAGAGUGGAGAUGUCCCAUGUUUCUCCUUUGCCUCAUGAUAUGCAGCAUCUAAUUUCUUGUUGCCAUUUGGGGUACUUGCCCAAACACCAUACUUUAUGCUCUUAUGAACAUUAUCUUCACU
rnacentral:misc_RNA from 1 species